rnacentral:rRNA from 1 species
GAUGAACGCUGGCGGCGUGCCUAAUACAUGCAAGUCGAGCGAACGGACGAGAAGCUUGCUUCUCUGAUGUUAGCGGCGGACGGGUGAGUAACACGUGGAUAACCUACCUAUAAGACUGGGAUAACUUCGGGAAACCGGAGCUAAUACCGGAUAAUAUUUUGAACCGCAUGGUUCAAAAGUGAAAGACGGUCUUGCUGUCACUUAUAGAUGGAUCCGCGCUGCAUUAGCUAGUUGGUAAGGUAACGGCUUACCAAGGCGACGAUGCAUAGCCGACCUGAGAGGGUGAUCGGCCACACUGGAACUGAGACACGGUCCAGACUCCUACGGGAGGCAGCAGUAGGGAAUCUUCCGCAAUGGGCGAAAGCCUGACGGAGCAACGCCGCGUGAGUGAUGAAGGUCUUCGGAUCGUAAAACUCUGUUAUUAGGGAAGAACAAAUGUGUAAGUAACUGUGCACAUCUUGACGGUACCUAAUCAGAAAGCCACGGCUAACUACGUG